rnacentral:rRNA from 1 species
CCCUUAGAUGUCCUGGGCCGCACGCGCGCUACACUGACGAAGGCAACGAGCUUUCCUUUACCGAAAGGUACGGGUAAUCUUUUGAAACUUCGUCGUGCUGGGGAUAGAUCCUUGCAAUUUUUGAUCUUAAACGAGGAAUGCCUAGUAAGCGCAAGUCAUCAACUUGCGUUGAUUACGUCCCUGCCCUUUGUACACACCGCCCGUCGCUACUACCGAUUGAAUGGUUUAGUGAGGCCUUCGGAUCCGCGACUCGUUUGUGGAGAAGUUGGACAAACUCAGUCAUUUAGAGGAAGUAAAAGUCGUAACA